UUUCGAGUCAAAGCUACGCGGUUAAAUGGAUAGUUCAAAAUUGUGCGUAAAUUUCCUGAACUACCGUGGAAAUUAUUGUAAUUUUACAAACAGCGUCAAUCUCUACCCUUCUCUACGCUUCCCGCUUGCCCAACAAUUUGAAAUUUGCUUUCACACGUCACAAACUGGAUAACCGAUAAAAAUGAAACCGGACGACCUGUCGUUUCUAGAGAUCUCCGGCGAAGAUGAUUCGCCGUUGAAGCUGCAACGGAUCCCUAACGACGACGUAACAAGUUUCAGUAAGUCCUUUUUCACUUGUUCCCCUCUGCUACUCCCAGAUCUGACCGUUCCAUUCAUCAUCCUACGCCUCUUGUCUCUCCAAUUGCGGAAGUGACGGGAAAGGAGAACGAAGAAGAUUUAAAAUUUUCAUCACGUAGAGAUAGUGUUAAUGAAGAGAAUACAAGUAUGAACAAACCAGGAGUGCCAAAACUCAUUAUGGCGUCACAAAAAAUGAAGAGGAAGAAGAAGGGUGGAGGGUACAAUUUGCGCAAAAGCUUAGCAUGAAAUCGAGCUUUCUUUACUGAAGAAGGCGUUUUGGAUCCUUUAGAGUUAUCUUUAAUUAGUGGCAACAUCAGUAAGUCUAGUGGGGAGAUGUUGUCAGUUAUCAAUGAAGGUAGGAGAGAAUCGUUGGUGGGUGAAUUAGAAGAUUUGGGAGCUCUUGAAGAAAAUUGUUUGGGGAGCUGCCAGCAAGUACUAUAAAGGAUGAUAGAAAGAGUGCUGGUUCAUCAUUGCCAAAGAAGGUUGCAUCCACUGGAGUUAAUCCUGAAGUAGCAUCUGCUGCAGUGGUUAUUGUUCUUAUACUUGCUUGGGCUGCCGAUGUUUUGCUAUUCUUUUUGACUUUAUCUUGUCAGUUGAAAGUUGGGUUAAAUGAAACUAAUUUUAGUCGUGUUGAGCAUGUCCUCCUCAGGCUAAGCAAAAGGCGCUUUCAUUUCAAGAUGUUAAUAGAAGUGGAUCUAAACGCAGUGGUUGCCCACGACCUGUUGCUUCAUUUGCAUAUCCUUUUGAUGAAAUUGUACAAAUAUAAUGGAAGAGUUUUGUGGUCUCUAGAAGUAGACUUGAGUUGUAUGGUUGGACUGUCUUUCUUUAUCUAUUAAAUUGGAGAAUAGUUGACCUUAACUUCUUUGAACUGUGAACAGACGGGCGAAUGUGAGUACAACAAAAGCAGCAACUAAAGAUUUGAACUUGUCAAAGAUAACAGCUCGAAAACCGGAUGCCUCUGUGCAUCCUGCAACUGUUAAAAGCACUAUCCUGAGUGGGAGCAACUUAAAGAGGAAUCAGAAUGUUCAACGAGCAGUCAGCAUUCAUAGAAACAUCGGACUAAAGAGUUCCUCAAACAAUUCUACGAGUGCAAGAUCUAGCUCGCAACCCUGCAGAUCCGUAGUUGUGAAAUCUUCUAUGAAAUUAGCUAGAAGAAAUGUGUUCAACAUUGGAAGUCCGUUCGUCAACCAAUUCAGAGUAUUCACUUGUCACCAAAGCCAAAGCUAAAGAAGCCUCAAAGAUCAACCCAAGUCAUGCACUUUUAGCUUCUGGGGAUGCCAACAAUAUUGCAACUUCUUUUUCACCGAAGGCUCUCUUUAGUGGUGGAAGCAUGCAACAUUCACAACUACAAACUGCCAAACCAUCAUGUUUGCGGAUGCCAUCUCCGUCAUUGGGUUAAACCAGUCAAAGGCUUCUUCUUCACAUAGUUUAGUACUGAAAAGUAAUAAAGCUUGCAAUGUUCCCGAGUCAAACAAUUCUACGAGUGCAGUCAAAGGCUUCUUCUUCACAUGUUACUGGCAUGACAAGUGCAAAUCUGAGAGACUCAGGGUCAGUUACAGAAUCCUCUCUUCUAUCUAAUCUUAACUCUGGUUCACUUGAAAAGACAAAAUCCAACUUGCGCAGAAAUGCUACUCGAGAGUUGGAACUGAAUUUGUCAUCUAACUCUUACAGUUUCGACACAGUAAAUAAAGAACAAAGUUUACAUAUUUGCAAUGAUAUUGACCAGCCAUCUCUGAAAACUGCGAAACAAAGAACAUAUAAGGAGAUUUCACAUGCAGUGGAUGACGAACUACAGUGUAGUGAUAAUAGAUUGCUCGUACGAAGUGCACAAUCUGACCAAUUCAUGAAAGAUGAAGCGAAAGAGAGAGUUGCCAAUAUUUGCCCAAUGAAUAUAGAAUCGACUGGGCCCAAAGUGGAGAAUGAUAAUAUUACCUCCCAAUUUCAACCGUCAGUGCAAGUUGAAGGUAUAUACGAGAAAAAGGAUAUGAUUGACAACAAUGUGAAGAGGACAAAAUUUACUGUGCGUCAAUUGAUGAUCACAUUGCCUCUUCACGAUCAAAAUCUGGUGACGUCAAUGGUACUGUUUUAGGGCCACAAUCCAGAGAAGCCGAUGAUUAUAAUAUUAUGGGUGCUUCGAAACAGCAUGACAAUUUGUUAAGUUGUGCGCAAGAUGUUAAUGAACAAACGAUGAAACAAGCUGAGGAGAAAAUGCCUUCUGCCCUUCAGGUUGAUCAGAUUGAACCGUCCAUAAAUAUUGGCACUUUUUCCUGGGAGAGUAGAUCUUCAGAGUUUCAGAAGUGCACAAAUAGAAAGAUUUCCAAAUUCCAGUCCAGAAGGAAAAGAAUGCGUUGCUGCAGUUGAUAAUUUCUGUACAAAAUCCAAAGUAAAGUCUGCGGAUGUCAGUCUAUCAGUUGGAAGGGGAAAAGUUGUUUUGGGCUCUUCAGCCUUGGAUAAUAUGGUUGUUGAUGUGAAUGAAACUAUAAUUGAUACUAAUGGAAGUGAAUUGAAAAGUUCUGGUGCUCUUUGUUCAAAACAAUCCACACUACAUGAUAGUGGCUUUUAUAUGGCUGUAGAGCACCCACUUGGAGAUUAUGCAAAGUCAGGUUUGAUUGAUACAGAUUUCAGGUGUGAUAUCAAACCCCAUGUUCAGACUACUUCUGGCACGUCACAAAUGUUGGAUAAAAAUCAAGAGUCAGAUGUCGUAACCAGUGGCAACACUAAAGUCCCCAAUGUUGAACAUGAACUUGUAGAAGACAAACAACAUAAUUUAUCAAUAAACAAUCACCAUUCUGUUUCUGAAUUACACCCUGGAGAUGACAUUAGCCCUUGCAAGCAAAAUAUAUCAACAGCACACACCACACAUGUCAACACCAUGUCCACUGAGGGGAACCAGAUUCCAGAGGCUUAUGAUGAACCGUUGUUUGAGGAGCGCAAGCCUUUUGAAAAGCCCAGAGAUUCCAAUUCUAGUGAAAUUGUAGAUGGAAGUCUCGAUGCCAAAAUCUGUUUUGGUCGAGAGAAUGCCUCUCACUCUAUUUCAAGAUGAAUGUGUAACGCAAACAAAUGAAGAAGUUGCUGUAGUCGGUGAUACGUUUAGGGAUACACUUGAGGAAGAUGCACAGAUGCAGGUCUUAGAUGGGAGUUUAUCAACAGAUAGCUGCAAUUGUAACUUCAAUUCAUCAACAACAAAGGAUAAGUCUUCUGGGGAUGUUGAUGAUGUACGUGUUUCUGAUCUUGUAGCCGAGUUGCAGGAAAGUAAUGUCUGUAGAAGUGACUUGGAUGUUGUUUUACAGCAAUCUUAUGCUUGUGUAAAUGAAUUAAGUUCUGUUGUCUGUAUUCAGGCAGCCCCUGCAGUUAAGAAUGUGGUGUUGUUGAGGACCAGAAGGCAGAGUACCCAUAUGAGGAAAAAACAGUGUCAGGAUCUCUUGAGAUUGAACCAUUAGUCAAAAAUCUCGGGUGUUAUACUGAAACAAAGUUCAGGCAUGAUAGCGAUGAUGAUGAACUUAGUUCUCCUAACUGGUCAUUGACAUGUGGUCUGUAUUUGAAUAGGAAUGAAGUUCAAAAUUCAGUAACAGCAAAUACUUGCGAAUCUAAUACAUUUUGUUUGCAGAACAAAGAAUCUACAUUUUUGGUUGAAGUAAAUCAGUCAGCAUCAGGGAUAAAAAAAUAUAGAAGUUGACAUAUUGAAGAGUGAUACUUUUGCAGAGGAAGCUAGUAUUUCUCAAAAUGAGAGUUCUAUUGGUGAAAUGCAGCUUGAGCUAGACAAUGCCAAGUUUCUCAGUGAUGAUGGAAUAAUGUCAUUAACUGGAAGUGUCUUUCAAGAUGUAAAUGUUGAUGCAAUGAAGAUUGAUUUUUUGUCUAAAGAAGUUAGUAUAGUUCAAAAUGAUAUCAGUUCUAUUGUUGAGAUGCAACAUGAGUCAGAAGAUGCAACAAUUUCAUUAACUGGAAGUAUCUUACACGAAGUAAAUGUUACUUCAAUAAUGAGUGACGUUUCGCCUGAGGAAGCUGAAAUUAUCAUUUACCAAAAGAGUUGCAGUCCUAAUAAUGAAAUCAACUGUGACUAGGAUGAUGUUAUAGAAGAUAAGGAUACAACAAAACUUCUGAGUAUUUAGUUCUAAUUUAUUUUAUCUGAUCUUGCUAGCAUUUUUUUAGGCUUUUUCGGAUGAUAAAAAAGUUAGGUUGCUUCUGAAGCUGACUUUGUAUGCAGUGAGAAAUCUGGGAAUGAUAAGAAGCAAGAUAAUCCAGCGAUAAAACCUCCUCCACAUGCUGUUCCAUUUUCUGACGAGUGGUUAGCUGCAUUUGAAGAUGCCGGAGAGGAACUUCUAACCAUGAAAAGCGGCGCUGUACAGCAUUCACCCCCAGACAAGACUCAACCUGAACCUAGUCCAUGGUCGCCGGUGAAGCGAAAGAACAACCAAGGAAUUGGGCCAUAUGACUACUAAAUAUACCAACAUCCCUUCAUCCGGUUCCUAAUUAAUCAUUCUUUUGUAGCUAACAUCGUGACUGAUUUUGGUCCCUAUAACUCAUUUAUUGGAAGUAUUACUUUGUUCAC